rnacentral:rRNA from 1 species
GACGAACGCUGGCGGCGUGCUUAACACAUGCAAGUCGAACGGUGAAGCGCCUUCCUUUUUGGUGGGUGUGGAUGAGUGGCGAACGGGUGAGUAACACGUGAGUAACCUGCCCCCUUCUUCUGGAUAACCGCAUGAAAGUGUGGCUAAUACGGGAUAUUCUGGGUCUGUCGCAUGAUGGGUCUGGGAAAGAUAUUGUUUCGGUGGGGGAUGGGCUCGCGGCCUAUCAGCUUGUUGGUGGGGUGAUGGCCUACCAAGGCGGUGACGGGUAGCCGGCCUGAGAGGGUGGACGGUCACACUGGGACUGAGGCACGGCCCAGACUCCUACGGGAGGCAGCAGUGGGGAAUAUUGCACAAUGGGCGCAAGCCUGAUGCAGCGACGCCGCGUGAGGGAUGGAGGCCUGCGGGUUGUGAACCUCUUUCGCCAGUGAAGCAGGCCUGCCUCGUUUGUGGGUGGGUUGACGGUAGCUGGAGAAGAAGCGCCGGCUAACUACGUG